GGUUGGAUGGCAUCACUGAUUCAGUAGACACGAGUUUGAGUGAAGGUGGGGACAUGGUGAAGGACAGGGAAGCCCUGCGUACGGCAAUCCAUGGGGUUGCAGAGUCAGACAUGACUUGGAGGCUGAACCACCACAGAGAACAAUGCAGAUUUCUUCUUCCAGCAGUUAUUUCCUGAACACUCCAGACUGUGAAUGAAUCCCAGACGGCCAGCACCUCAGCAGAAGAGAGGUCUAUGUCCCAGAGGCAGGAAACGGCGGAGCUGGAUGGAUUCUUAACCAGCUGAGCCAGAAGGAAGCCCUUAUUUUGGGUAAGUGGCCUUAAACUUGGUAGAAAGGAGGAAAGAGGGAGAGACAGAGACAGAGACAAAGAGGGUAACAGAGGGGACCAGACUUGGG